rnacentral:rRNA from 1 species
GGUCUCAGUUCGGAUACGCGAAGAACCUUACCAAGGCUUGACAUACACCGGAAACGGCCAGAGAUGGUCGCCCCCUUGUGGUCGGUGUACAGGUGGUGCAUGGUUGUCGUCAGCUCGUGUCGUGAGAUGUUGGGUUAAGUCCCGCAACGAGCGCAACCCUCGUUUUAUGUUGCCAGCGCGUUAUGGCGGGGACUCAUAGGAGACUGCCGGGGUCAACUCGGAGGAAGGUGGGGAUGACGUCAAAUCAUCAUGCCCCUUAUGUCUUGGGCUUCACGCAUGCUACAAUGGCCGGUACAAAGGGCUGCGAUACCGUAAGGUGGAGCGAAUCCCAAAAAGCCGGUCUCAGUUCGGAUUGAGGUCUGCAACUCGACCUCAUGAAGUCGGAGUCGCUAGUAAUCGCAGAUCAGCA